UACGUAGGGUGCAAGCGUUGUCCGGAUUUACUGGGCGUAAAGAGCGCGUAGGCGGUCUGUUAAGUGUAGGAGUGAAAUCUCCGGGCUCACCCGGAAACUGCUCUGCAUACUGGCAGACUUGAGGGAUGCAGAGGUUUGUGGAAUUCCUGGUGUAGCGGUGAAAUGCGUUGAUAUCAGGAGGAACACCCAUGGCGAAGGCAGCAAACUGGGGCAUCAUCUGACCGCUGAGGCGACGAAAGCGUGGGUAGCAAACAGG
rnacentral:rRNA from 1 species